rnacentral:rRNA from 1 species
AUUGAACGCUGGCGGCAUGCUUUACACAUGCAAGUCGAACGGGCUUGGGGGCUUGCUCCCAAGUUAGUGGCGAACGGGUGAGUAAUACAUCGGAACGUACCGUGUAGUGGGGGAUAACGUAGCGAAAGUUACGCUAAUACCGCAUACAAUCUACGGAUGAAAGCAGGGGACCUUCGGGCCUUGUGCUAUACGAGCGGCCGAUGUCUGAUUAGCUAGUUGGUGAGGUAAAGGCUCACCAAGGCGACGAUCAGUAGCGGGUCUGAGAGGAUGAUCCGCCACACUGGGACUGAGACACGGCCCAGACUCCUACGGGAGGCAGCAGUGAGGAAUAUUGGACAAUGGGCGCAAGCCUGAUCCAGCCAUGCCGCGUGCAGGAUGACGGUCCUAUGGAUUGUAAACUGCUUUUGUACAGGAAGAAACACUGGUUCGUGAACCAGCUUGACGGUACUGUAAGAAUAAGGAUCGGCUAACUCCGUGCCAGCAGCCG